rnacentral:lncRNA from 13 species
GGUGAACCAGGAACUGUUGGUCCUCCUGGGCUCCCGGGUGUUCCAGGAUGCAAUGGCACAAAGGGUGACCAAGGAUUUCCAGGUCCUCCAGGUCAAAGAGGUGCUCCAGGCCUUCCAGGUAUUGCUGGUAUCAAAGGAGAGAAGGUCAGUUAUUUGCAUCAUAUUACACAAAGUAUUUAUUGGUUAUCAACAAUUUGUGUGUGUGUUUGUUGCUCCUAACCUCUCCAUUCAUGGGAAACAGAAGGUUUGCCUUCCAGAGGAAGCAACCACAAAGUUUGGUGCUUCCAUUGUCCUAGCAGCAUUCACCUCAGGUUGCAAAAUGGUCUAUUAUUUCUUUUCCCUCAAACUACUGUUACUGCAUAUAAUGAAUUUAACACUUUCAAGCACACAAAGAAUUAAGCUCCUCUCCCAAACAGUUCAUGAAUUCAUAUGGAAAUCUGCAGAUGCUCUAGACAGUAUUUUAUAG